AUACUUACCUGGACGGGGUCGAUGGGCGAUCAAGAAGGCCCAUGGCCUAGGCUUGCGGCCCACAUUGCACGUGGUGGGAGCGCUCGUCUACCAUCUCCCCAAGUGGGAGAGUGGGCGUCAUAAUUUGUGGUAGGAGGGGGUACGCGUCCGCGCGGCCCCUGC